rnacentral:rRNA from 1 species
AGAGUUUGAUCAUGGCUCAGGAUGAACGCUGGCGGCGUGCCUAAUACAUGCAAGUCGAACGGCAGUAGCAAUACUGUAGUGGCGAACGGGUGAGUAACACGUUGGUGACCUGCCCCAAAGAUGGGAAUAUCACCUGGAAGCGGGUGGCAAAACCGAAUAAGCUUUACCUGGUUAGAGAAAGUAAAGUAAAAGAGCGAUCUACUUUGGGAGGGGCCUGCGGCCCAUCAGUUAGUUGGUGAGGGUAACGGCCCACCGAGACGAAGACGGGUAGGGGACCUGAGAGGGUGGUCCCCCACAAUGGAACUGAAACACGGUCCAUACACCUGCGGGUGGCAGCAGUAGGGAAUAUUGCUUAAUGGGCGAAAAAGCCUGAAGCAGCAACGCCGCGUGGACGAAGGAGGCCUUCGGGUCGUAAAGUCCUUUUAGGGGAGAAGAGGAAGGACGGUAUCCCCUGAAUAAGUCUCGGCUAACUACGUGCCAGCAGCCGC